GCUCGUAGUUGGAUUUCGGGUGGGACCUGCCGGUCCGCCGUUUCGGUGUGCACUGGCAGGGCUCACCUUGUUGCCGGGGACGGGCUCCUGGGCUUCACUGUCCGGGACUCGGAGUCGGCGCUGUUACUUUGAGUAAAUUAGAGUGUUCAAAGCAGGCCUACGCUCUGAAUACAUUAGCAUGGAAUAACACGAUAGGACUCUGGCCUAUCCUGUUGGUCUGUAGGACCGGAGUAAUGAUUAAGAGGGACAGUCGGGGGCAUUCGUAUUUCAUUGUCAGAGGUGAAAUUCUUGGAUUUAUGAAAGACGAACUACU
rnacentral:rRNA from 1 species